UUACGGGCAAACCACAUAGCAAACAGCCGUUCUCUUUUGAUGAUCGAAGUUAAGUAGCAUCGGGCCAAGUCAGUACUUAGAUGGGGAACCACAUGAGAAGAGCGGGUACUGAA